CACGGCUUAACUGUGAGCGUGCGGGCGAUACGGGCAGACUUGAGUACUGCAGGGGAGACUGGAAUUCCUGGUGUAGCGGUGGAAUGCGCAGAUAUCAGGAGGAACACCGGUGGCGAAGGCGGGUCUCUGGGCAGUAACUGACGCUGAGGAGCGAAAGCGUGGGGAGCGAACAGGAUUAGAUACCCUGGUAGUCCACGCCGUAAACGGUGGGUACUAGGUGUGGGUUUCCUUCCUUGGGAUCCGUGCCGUAGCUAACGCAUUAAGUACCCCGCCUGGGGAGUACGGCCGCAAGGCUAAAACUCAAAGAAAUUGACGGGGGCCCGCACAAGCGGCGGAGCAUGUGGAUUAAUUCGAUGCAACGCGAAGAACCUUACCUGGGUUUGACAUGCACAGGACGCCGGCAGAGAUGUCGGUUCCCUUGUGGCCUGUGUGCAGGUGGUGCAUGGCUGUCGUCAGCUCGUGUCGUGAGAUGUUGGGUUAAGUCCCGCAACGAGCGCAACCCUUGUCUCAUGUUGCCAGCGGGUAAUGCCGGGGACUCGUGAGAGACUGCCGGGGUCAACUCGGAGGAAGGUGGGGAUGACGUCAAGUCAUCAUGCCCCUUAUGUCCAGGGCUUCACACAUGCUACAAUGGCCGGUACAAAGGGCUGCGAUGCCGCGAGGUUAAGCGAAUCCUUUUAAAGCCGGUCUCAGUUCGGAUCGGGGUCUGCAACUCGGCCCCGUGAAGUCGGAG
rnacentral:rRNA from 1 species